rnacentral:lncRNA from 1 species
CUCGCUAUAUACAAUUUAGACAACUUAAGAUAUUUUAAAUGUAUCAAUUUUCCAACAUUAUCUGGAAUUUCUGUAAUCCAAUUUGUGUCUUCAUACAAAAGCUUGGUCGAUUGGCUUAUAACUAAUGCCCUUAAACAUGCCAAUUUACUAAAUAACUCCCGAAGGAUGCUACUGUUAAGAGAUAAAUUGACAAAACUUUGGUCAUAAAUUAAUAGGGUACGCAAUCUAUUAAGUCCAUAAAUGGUCAUAGGAAAUGAAGCUCCUCCUCCAAAAUUUAACCCUAAGUGACGGACUUUGUCACCAAAAAAGUUUAUGACUGAUUCCUUGGUACCAUUAAUUUCUAGCCACAAACAUUCUUUGCUACUUACAAAUUGGGCAAAAUCAUGUACUAUGUCAUGCAUCUUACACCACAUAAAAUCAUCAUCGUCAUCAUAUAUUUUAAACUCUUGAAAGAAAGAGCGUGUUGCUAAGAUGUUGAAAUACUCUUCUCCAAUCAUCUCCAUUUCUUCGUCUUCUUCUGCAUUAAGGUAACCUUGAGCCAUCCACAGAUCAAUCAACUCCUCUUUAUCCAUCUCGUAGUCUUUUGGAAAGACAACACAAUAUGAGAAACACCGUUUUACCAUAGAAUUGGAGGGCAAAUCGUUAUAACUCAACAACAAAGGAGCUAAAAGACCUUGCCCAAUCUCUUCUACUUUCCACAUUUCACUAUCUAAAAUUAUUUGCCACUCUUUUUCUGUAAUUUUAGAGCGCAAGAGAUUCCCUAUUACCUUUGCAGCAAGAGGCAGGCCUUUGCACUUCCGUGCAAUUUUUCUCCCGAUUGGUUCUAAUUUUUCACGAUCCUCAAAGGACCUACGUAGAAAUGCUAUCUGCUUAAACAGUAACCAACAUUCCCCUUCACCCAACUCCUUGACAGGGAUAAUAUCUAUUGAUCCCAACUGUAGUGCAACUGACCUAUCACGUGUGGUAAUUAGAAUUUUACUUUCAUGGCGGCCAUUCUUUAGACAAGAAAAGAAUAGGUCCCAUUUUUUGUAAUCUCCAUCCCACACAUCAUCUAAAACAAGAAAAAAUUUCUUCCCUGUAAUAUAUUCCUGAAUCUGUUUCAUAAGAGAUUCGAAUUCGCUUAAACCAGAAGCUGACACACCUAAACCUUCAAUGAUUGCUUUGGCGACCCUAAUCUCCUCAAAAGUGUCUGAUACACACACCCAUAUAACUUUGUCAAAAUUUCUUUUCACCUCAUCAUUAUUAUAGGCUAGUUGUGCAAGAGUGGUUUUACCUAUACCCCCUAACCCAACUAGUGAGAUGAUAUGAAGGCCUUCUUGUUGUUCACUACUUUCACACAACAACUUGCUUAAGAGCUUCUUUUUCUCAUCAUCUCUACCGCAAACCUCUCCCUCAUCAAUCAAGGAGAUGGUUCGCACUCGCUCUGGAUUCCUAACAUUGUUACUCACAUUCUCAACAAAAUUAAACCUAUCUUUUCGAGUGGCAAUAUCAUCUAGCUUUUCACUGAUUUCUCUAAUCUUGACAGCAAUAUGAUGACGAAGACUGAGUUGUUUGAAACCACCAAAGCAGUUUGAGGCAGCAGGAAAGAAGGAACAUACCUUCGUCAAAAAAGUAACAAAAGCACUGUCGUUAUCAUCAUCAUCAUCAUCGCCUCGCUCAUCAAGCUGCAAUUUCCGUGUUUCAGUGAUCCACUCUUCCAACACAUCUUCCAUGUCGUAGGAUGCGUCUCUGAGCUGAUCCAGCCAAAAAGUAACAGCUUUGUCCUGCUUCAUUUGCCUCUGCUCUGCAUCUUCCAGCACAGCUUGAAUGGCUUGAAGAUUGGUGGUAAGCUUUCCCACUUCAUGUUCGACACCCGUGACAAGCCUCCACUUUUCUUUCACCUGAUCUUGAGCAAUGGAUUUCAGCUGGUCCAGGAGAGAGGAAACGAUCGCAUGAGCCAUUCUGAUAUUAGAUCAAAUGGUAAAUGCUGCAAUUGCUUUUCGUGCUGCUUAAAUGCUCAGAGGAAAGUAGCUUUUAUGUAUUCUGAGAGAAUGUUCAUUCAAGCAUGUUUGGAUUCUUCUUAUACUAAUUGGAGAUAUUUUAAUUUUUACCCUCAAGUCAAUGUCAAUGUGAACGUUCUUUUGUGCUGCAAAUUGAAGGAGUCCCCACAGGAGUCACCGUCGUGGGCUAGCUUUCUGCGGAGUACACAGCAUCAGCACUUGUAAAAUUUCUUACAUUUGUAUUUAGUUACUUGCCGCUCUUAAGAUAAUUAGCAACAAAAUAUUUGUAAACUGCAACAAAAAGCUCAGUGCAAUCUAUCUAUGAAUCUUGUGAGUUCACAUAUAAUACAGUCGAUUUAGAAUAGUCAUAAAUUUUUUUUAAUUAUAAAUAGUAGUAUAUUUUUAAUGGUAUAAUAUAUAUCGAUGAAACUAUAUAGAGUAAUUUCGCCUAAUUGUAUAAAUUCAUUAUGAAUAUCAUCACAAAUUUGUAUUUGGUCGGGACCGUGCGAGUGAAAUUUUUGAUAAAAAUCAUCUCCUGACAAUUUAUUUAUUAUAUUUUUCAAUUUAGCUUUAACGUAUGGAUCCAUUCCUUUUAUUAUCAGGUAGGCCAAAGCCAUUUGGUCAUUUGAUCCAUUCCUUUUAUUAUCAGGUAGUUCAAAUUUGUAUGGAUCCAUUCCUUUAGUUGGGACUUGGAAUAAGAUUAAAGAAAAAAAAGUUAUCCAUUUAUGAGACUUUAAUUUAUGUCAUUAUUGUUUAUUUAUAUUUAAUAUUAAUCAUGAAAAUUAAUAAUACCAUCAAUUAAUUGAUUUUACAUACUUUUUUAAAUAUUUGAUAAGAAUUUGAUAAAAAAUUAAUUAAGUAUUUAAAUUUUUAUUCAUUUUUUUAUUUGUUUAUUUUAUUAUGAAUACCCAAUAACUUACAAUAUGAUUAAUUUUCUUAUUCAGACUACUCAGCAUCAGCUCCUGUAAAAUUUCUUACAUUAUAAGCAACAAAAUAUUUAUAAACUACAACAAAAAGCUUAGAUCAAUCCACCGAUGAACCUUUUGAAGUUAUAUAUAAUAUAUUAAUUAUUGAUCUAGAAUAGUCUUAGUGGAUAGAUUUUUUUAAUUAUAAAUAUCAAUAAAUUUUUUAUCGUUUAAUAGAUAUUGAUGAAAUAAUAUAGUGUAAUUUUGCCCAAUCAAAUUAAUCCAUUAUGAAUUUCAGCACAAAUUUGCAUGUGGUCUGGACCGUGCAAGUGAAAUUUUUUUAUUAUAUUUUUCAACUUGGCCGACAACAUCUUUUUGUCAGGUAGGCAAAAGCAAAAGCCAUUAUCUCUAUUAUGCCAUGACAAACUCCAAGAUCUAAUUUAGAGAGCGACAACUUUUGUUAUCAGGUAGGCAAAAGCCAUUGUCUCAUUAAUUCAUUUGGUCAUUUGAAAAAGUUGUGGCUCUGUUUUAGUCCAGUGUCAAUAUAUAACUUUAUUAUGUCAUCACAAACUUCAAAAUAUAGUUUAGAGUGUGACUCGAAUAAUUUUAAUUAGUAAUUUAUUAUAUCUACAGUCGGAUACUUUGUUGAGAAAAAAAAAAAAGAAUAAAAUCUGUCCCAUAAUGAUUUUAAUAAAUAUCAUACUAUCGUCCACGUACUUGGGCCAUCUUCAAUAUGACACCAAAUCUAACACCAAAUCACCUUUUGUAUCAUUUUUAGUAUAAAAUACUUCUCUAAUGUAACACUAAAAGCAACACCAAAAUAGUGUUAUGAAUAAUAUUGCAUCAAAUAUGGUGCAACACUAUUCAUUUGGUGCUAGGAAAAAAAAGUCCCAAAUAUCCUUACUACCUUUUCUUAUUUACAUAUAUGUCCUAUUUUAUAUAAUAUUUUAAGUUAUUAUUAUUAUUAUUUUUGUUAUUAUUUUUUUUUCAUUUUUUUAAUUUUUGAAUAUUAUACUAAAAUUUUAAAUAAAAAAUAUUUAACACAAAAAUUAAUAAUAAAAAGAAAAUGCCAAAUUUAAUAAUUUUCUAUAUUUCUUUUGUUAAUCGAUAUAAAAUUAUUUAUUACUUAAUUAUAUGUAUUAAUAGUAAUAUUUAUUGUGUUAAUUGAAUUAAUUCUUGAAAUUAAAAGAAUAAAAAGAAGAAUAUUCUUUUUGGUGUAAAUGGAUUGGAGAUGAAAUAGCAAUUUGGUGUGAAAAAAGUACAUUUUUGGUGUAGUAUCACUAUUGUGGUGAUACUAUAGUGACACAAGAUACUGACGCAAAAAUCACUGACACCAAAAAUUAGUGUCAGUGUGUUCUAGCUUGAGCAUUACUGACACAAUUAACAAGUGUCAGCAAAAGUAAUUACUGACACUAAAGUGGUGUCAGUAAAGCCCAUUUUUCUAGUAGUGAAUUUUUAACUCAAUCGCAGGGCAUAAUAGCCUAGGUUGUUCUGCAUUUGGUUCGACUCAUCGCAAGCUUGGAAACUAUAUUAUAUGUCCAAAACGAAUACUCGUAACCCAAUUUCUAGCCUCGGAAGAUACCCUGCUUAUUCCAUGCAACAAUCUUAUAUCAACUUGCCUUCUCUGCAUCUUCAAGCACAACUUGAAUGGCUUGAAGAUUUAUGGUAAGUCACAAGCAGCAAAGGAGUUCAGCUGCUCCGGGAGAGGGGAAGCGAUCACAUCCAUUCUGGCAAAGAAAAGGAGAAAUAAUUUCAUAAGUUGUUCAACGUGCUUUUGUUGCAAAAAUACUGAAAGAAACGAGUUGUUGCAUUCUUCUUACACUACACGAAAAAUGUUUAUGGUUAUUGUCGCCUAACCCACGCGUCAAUAAUUUUAGCAUUUUUAAUUUUCCUGAUUCUACUCCACAUCUGUGAUACAUAAUUGUAAAUAUUCUCUAAUUAAUUUGUAGUGGUCGGGCCAGUGCCAUUUAAAACGAAAACAAAAAACCAAAAGAAAAAAAAAACAAAAGUUGGAAAAAAGCAUGCAUCACCGAUAAUUCAUUUAUUUAUUUGAGGACGGGGAUAUUUUCUACCUACUUAUUUUACAAAUCUACCUCGCUGUCAGAAAAUAAUUGUAAUACGUUCAUACUAUUUUUAAAAUAUAUAAAUCAAUAAAACGUAUAGACAAUCAAUAAAUUAAAUCAUUCAUAUAAUUUUUUAUUUUUUUAACUUAGGUGUCUUUGACCAUUUAGGUUGCUUUAAGAUAAGUUUUAUUUGACUAAUUUACCAUGAUAAUAUAAAAUGACUAAAAUACCCCAAGAAUCAAGAGUUCUUGUAUAUAAUAGUUUAGGUAUUUUAUUUUAUUUGAUUCAAUCUCCAAACUUAUUGUAAUUACAUCUUCUUUAUUUCAAUUUUUAAAAAAUAAUUUGAACUUAUUGUAAUUAUUUCUUGAGAGUGGGGUGGGUUUACAAAAAUUAUGGGCCUUUUCGUUUAUUAAUUCUUGGAAAUUAAUGGCUCCGUAAUCAAUUUCUUUUGUUCUUUUAUUUAAAUAGAAAAGAAAAAUUAAGAGGAGCUUUUGUCUAUUGAAUUGAGGUUCUGUGAAGAAAAAUACGUAUCAAAUGAUCGACGGAUUGUACUUUUCAAUUUUUUACUUCACAGUACUUUUCUUUAUUUGCUGGGUCAUUUAUGUUUUUUUGGACGGAUUUAAGUGUGCUUAUACAUUUUAUUGAAUUUUAUUUUGAUAAAAUCACCAACGAUCAGAAGAGAUUUACACUACCUAUCUGAGUAUUUGGUUCUCUAAUGUAAGGAAGCAUGUAAUCUUUCGCCAAUAAUUUUUUAUUUCAUCAAAAUGUUAAAAUGUUGAAAGGAGAAUUAGAUUUAUUUUUUAUAUAAAAAAGAGAAUUAGAGUUCAUAUUGUAGAAAAUUCUUUUUCCUACUAUAAGUCCAGUUCGAAUCUUUGAAGCAAAUGAUCUAAUCUCAAGCAUAGAAAGUAGGAAGAUCGAUUGAACAGCGGACACAUUAACAAAAAAUAAUUACUUUAAAAAGUUAAUAUUGGAUAUCACAAAACUUUUAUUAUUAUUAUUGUAAGUUGGUAUGUUGAAAAAUAAACAAGCUUUAUAUGAACUUUAAACACAGAUAAUAAUUUGCACGUAGUAAAAUUGCUUAAUACAUCCAUUAUUUUAUCAUUUUUAACUUUAUCUAUCGGUUAUUUUCAUUUUGAAAAUAUAGGAUAAAUGAAAUAAUAACAAACACAUAUUUCAAUUGAAAAUUUAUCAACUUGAAAACACCAUUUUCAUUCUCAUAAUAUGAAUUUAAAAAUAAAAUACAGAACAUGCCCUAACAUUUUCUGAAUUUAUUUUUAUACCGUAAAAGAAUCAAAUUACUCACACAAUUAUUUUAGCUUUUAUGAUAUAAACAAAUAAUCAUUAUUUAAAUUCAAUAGAAAGAGGUAUUCUUGGUAGAAUUGACGUCUUUAGCAAAAUAUAAUCUAUUUGGGACUUCUUACUCCAUUAGGUUAAUUGGCUCAUCAUUAAUUUUCGAUUAUAAACUUUAUAUUCGAACUUUGUAAGACCAUCAUUUCUCCCUUUUUAUUUUAAAAAAAAAAUUAACUUCUUGCAUGAUCUAGGUGGUCUCCUUUCAAAAGAAACCAAAAAAAAAAAAAAAACUAAAAUAAAAGGAAAUAAAGCAUAUUCUUUAUCUUAAUUACUUUCAUUUGUUAUUGACAUGUACUCAUGCAUUGUGGUCUUUUGUAUACUUUAUCGAUAUGUUUUGCUUAAGGGAUAAAACUCAUUAUGUGGCAAAAUUUUAUUAGAGCUGGGAUUAUUUAUCUGUGUUCUAGUACUUUGAGCAUCUUACUAUACACUCGUCUAUAAAAUUUUAACAUUAAUUUUUACUACUCAUCGAAAUAUCAAAAUAGUCCUUACUAAACAUCUCUCAUUAAUGUUCUGUAACGUAUGUGAAAAAAAAAUAAUAAUAAUAAGAGGAAGCUGGGUAAUGUUUUAUGGGCGAGAGGGAUAGAGGAAGCUGUCAAACCGACCCGGAAAACCCGACCCAAAACUGCGAACCCGACCCAGACAUAUCUCCGAUUUUCGGCCACCUCACCGGCCAUGGAUGGUAGCAACGAAAGCUCCUGAGCCAGCCAUCACUUUCCCACCGUCACUGUCGCCAAAAACCAACCGAAACGCCGCCGUUUGAAGCGCGAAUAGUCGCAGCCAAAACCUAUCACGACCGUCGUUGAUUCCGUCGGAAUUAGGCCAUGCCAGACGGAGAAAUGGUAGGGGGUAAACAGAGUUUGUAACGGAGGUGGGGUAAAUGGAGGAUGAUGUAGAGAGGGCAACCAACGGCCAUGAUGAGGGAGAGGAGGAGGAGGAGGAGGAGGAGGGUGAGGUUAUGGACGGCUGUGAUGGGCUUGAGGAUGUGGGGUCCAAUGAGAGGUGAUGAUGGUGGUGAUGUUGAUGUUGAUGUGUGGUAGAGGAUGAAUGUGAGGGAAAGGUAAGUGAGGAUGGAGAGAUACGUAACUAUUAUUUAUUGAAAAUUAAUUCUUUAAAUACUUUAAAAUGUAAAAUUAUUAAAUAAAAAUUCAUUCUAUUGUUGUUAAUUCACAAAAUUUUAAUUCAAUUAUAACAUUUCUACUUAUUUUUUUAAGUUAAAUUAUAUCUUUUUUAUUUUUUUUUCUAAAUUAAACUAAUUUUUCUAUUCUUCUAUUGUCUAAAGUUUUUCGACAUAGUUUUAUUUCAAAAUAGAUAAAACAAGCACAAAAAAAAGUGAUGAAUAAAAGAAUAUAUUAAAAAGAAAUAAGAACAAAUAACAACACAACUAAUUAAGAGAAUAAUAAAAAGAUAAAAUCAUAAAUUUGAGAUGAAAUCAUAAAUUAACUUAUAUUUAUAUUAAGGCUAUUGUUUGAAAAUUUGAGUAACGACCAAUAGUCAUAGAAAAUAGAGAAAACUAUUAGAUUUUUUCUUUUUCUUCUAUAGUAAAAAGUAGAGGAAGCAAGAUUUUUUCCCCUCUCUCUCUUUCUUUCUCUCAAACACCAAGAUGUCUUCAUUAUUGGAGGAAAAAUUUAAUGGAUAAGUAAUAAAAUGUAGGGCUUUUAUAGAGGUUCAAAAUAAAUAUAAAACUUUUGAAAUAUAACUUAUUAAUUUUAACAAUGAAAUAGAUAAUUUUUAGGAUUGAAACGAUUAAUUUAUUGGUUUUGUAGAAAUUAAAACAAUUAAGUACUACAUUAAAUACACUUUAUAGGAAUUUGAUAGUUUAUUUAGAAAAAAGAUAAUUACAAAAUAAUAAUAAAUUAAAUGAAUAAUAAUGACUUUUAAAUUCAUUUUCCUCUUUUAUAUACAAAAUAAUCAUCUCAUAGGACUUUUAUAUAAAGUGGAGUUCUAUGCAACUGCCUAAGUUGCCUAGAGGUCGAGCCGCUACUGAUUACAAGCCAAUAUUGGAGUGUUGAGGUAACUAGAUAUGAAGCCAUGGCUGGUUUUUGGGGGAGAAAGAUUUGGAAGAGAUUAUGUUGAGAGGAACGGGGGAGUUCAUAAAGUUUUAGGAUAAUGUGGAGGGUAUUUUGGACAUAUUACCGUCUUAGCUUAAAUUUUGGGAAAAAGAUAAUCAAUAAUAAACUAUUUUUUCAUAUCAAUUUAAAACUCCGAGUGUGUCUCCAAAAAUUGUUUUCUUUUUUUUAUUAUUUUGGAUUUUAAAUCUUAAAUUUAGUAAAGGAAGUUAAAUCAAGUGAUCACUUUUUUUUUUCAUGCAAAGCAAUUAAUCUUUUUUGUAAUUUAAGCAAAUAUUGGGUUGCGUACUUUAACAAUAUUAAUAUUUGAUUCGAAAUUUCAUCUACCGAAACUACAAAAAUUAUUAUUUUCUAUUAAAUCAAAAACAAAAUUAAGAAAUAACUUAUUAUCUGCCAACUGUCAUUCAACAAAGCCAUCACUCAUGCAAAAAAGGGAAAAAAAAAGUGAUAUAUUCAUUUUAACGUAAUUUCAUACCAACAUAUCAUCCUUUUCUUUUGAACAAUGACCUCUUCAAUAAUAAAAUAUGGUAAAAGAGGAUGGGUUUCAGGUCUGGCGUCCGGGCCUUGGUGACAAUGGCAUCUUCUGCUCAAUCAAACUUGUGGAUUACGUGCACUCAACGUCGACAAUAUGGAAAUGGGAGAAAAUUAUGUUGAGUAACAUCUUGUAUGGUCAACGCGUCGAGUAUGGACUUGCAUGAUCGAGUCAGUACAACUAAAGUCGGGUAGAGUUUGGUAAAUCUCUAUAUUGGCUUGAGGUUGGACAACUAUACCUUUUAAGCUACAUAUUUAAACAAUUUUAGUAAAUAUUUACUAUUUUGAUUUAAAAAUUAAUUUGAUUUGAUCUCAUAUUUUAUUAUUAAAAAAUUUAUAAUAUCUUUAAUAAUUUUAUUAAAUUAUUAUUUAAAAGUCAUACAUUUACUGCACAUUAUCAACUUUCUGCUAUUUUUUUUGUUCUCACAACAGCUAGUAAUAUCAAACAAGAGCUAAGUUAAGUAUGAUCAAUUAAUUAAAGUUUUGAUUUUUUGUAUAAAAUAAUCCUUAGAUAAUUAGUCUAUAUAGAAUAUUGGCUACUUCAAAUGGAAACUUGUGAUCAAAAGUGUAAUUCCCUCUAUCAGUGAACUAUACUUGCCAGGAAAUUAACCCCAGGCGAGUACCACCACCUCCUACUAUUUCUUAGGUGUCUCAGAGUUUGAUGAGGACUUCCAUGACGUGUCUCUUCGACAGGCAGCGAAAUUGGGCAAUUGACUACAUUAACUCCAACAAAUUUAUGCAGUCACCUUCCUCCGGACUAUCCUCUUUCUUCGCGCUUUAGUUGCCCUUAUUUCCCCUUUAAUACAGUCAACAUUAUCUUGUUUGAUGCCAAGGAGACCAAGCCCAGAAACAAUGGCAUUCUUUGAUAUCAACCACCUGGGGACUUUUGAGCUGAGCCAUGACAUCCUGAGAUGGCCUGUUGUGUAAGCCUUCUUCAAAAGGUCAUCCGUUAAUCUUUCUCCUAAUUAGACAUUCAAAACCCUGCAUGGAAUCGAUUUGAGAAGUUGGACAAUAGACAAACUCCAACACAUAUAGACAGUAAAGAAGAAUUUAGACCGCAAUCACUGUGGCUCAACAAAUGGGCCUAUUAAAGCCUAUUAAAAGUUGGAACCAUAUUCACCACUCGCAUUUCCUUAAGAGAGCUAUACCAGAAUUCUGUAAAUUUAAAACUUUUCUUACAUAAUUAACUGUAAAACAAGAGAAAUUGUACUUCCGUAGCAAAGUCUCACUAUUGGUAAGUAUCUGGACUUGGAAAGGAUGCUAGUUGAUGAAGUAAAGGAAAAUUGAAAUCAGACUUUGAGGUGACAGAUCUAUACACUUCAAUAGGAACCACAUUGACAUCAUAUGAGACAAAUAAACAUUCCCCAGUCAAAGUUUAACAAACAAAACAUUAAAACAAGAGUAGGUUGGUCUAUCAAUGUAUAUAUAGACAUGUCGAUCAAUAGACAAAUACGUAAAAGAGGGAGGGAGAGACCUCAAAGCCGUGCUACUCCAAUAACUUCAAAAUUGUUCGUGACCACUCUAUCAAAUCCACGCAAUAGUUGCAUACACUCACCGAUGGGUUUGUCACAGAUAACCUGUUAGGCAUUAAAAAUUGCCCAAAUUAAACAAAUGUUAGACCAGCUUAGACAGUAAACGGAACAAUAUUCUAAUUUUACUUUAUUUAUAACGAAUAAGUGAACAAAGGAAUAAAAAGGAAUUUUGGCAAAGAAUCCUGCAGCUAAUCCCACCAUACACCGCUCUGCAGGCUUAUUUGGGAGUCAAAAUUCUCAAAAUGUACUAAGAAAUGACAUUUGUUCACUAAUCCCACCAACAAGGAGGAAGUGACGUGAAGAGAAUUUACUAAGAAAUGCCAGUGUAUUAAUAUUGAAGGAAAACAUUCACUGACGACCAAAAUCGCUGAUAUAUGCUUAAUUUCUCACUCACUAAGAACGUUCAAUUCAUUCAAAUGAAACUUCCACAGGAAGGUCUCAUUAUUAAGGCUUUAGCUUCACCUCACAUGCUCAACAAUUCAAAUUUGAGGAUGAUAUUUCUCCAAAUGGAGGGCUCUAUUUGGCUUGCCAACAAUCUUCCUCACAACUAUCAUCCUUGCUAUAUCGGUUGCACUGAGCAAUCUUCAUUCUGACAUUUGCCCUAUUAACCUGAGUACACAAGAAUCCGAAACAACUGUUAGAAAUUUUAAUCUUUAUAUACAGCCAAAAUGGUGAAUAAGAUGAUGUACUGAUAAUAAAUACCUGAGUUAAUAAAUAAUUAAGGGGCCGGUAACAAUCUCAGCAUCUUAUCAAGUGGGGAAAGCCUUCGCAACGAAGAUGCUGCUUGCUUUCAAGCAAUAAUAACUUUCCAAUUCCAUAAGAUAGCUUAAUGCCCUUUUAAGAAUAUCUCCACCAGCCUAACAAUUAUUCAUGGAAAUCCAAUUUGCAUUUGUCGCCUUCAAUUUUCUCAUCUUUGUCUAGAGUAUUGUUUUUGCAUUAACUUAGCUAGCUUGCAAACCACCUGCAGAUGGUUUUAAAUAAUGUGUGAGAGUGUGAAUUCAAACGAAUUAAUUAAAUAUGAUGACAGGAGAAACAAAAUUAAAAUAACCACAAGAAGUAGAAAUAUACUUUUGUUAUAUUCAGAGCAUCUCCUACUGUCUUCAUUUCCCUUAGCUCUGUUUCCUUUUGAGCUCGAACGCAAUGCCUCAAGGCUCAAGAUAAUUUGAUGACCAUCAAUCUUUUUGCAGCCACAUGUAGACUUGAAAAACUGUUGGCGGCCCUAAAGAACUUGAAAAUUAGAAAAGAUUCAGAAUGAGUGACUAAAUAUUAUAAUCAAAACUAAUUAAACAAACGCGCCUUGAAAAUCUGAAACUGAAUUAAUCAAAUGUAUAUGCCCCUUCACUGCAAUUGCACGUGGUGGAAAUUUUACUGCGAAGACUUUCUCAAACCUUGAAGAUCACACUCGGCCUGACAACAAAGAAACAAAGUCAAUAUACGAAGAUGAUUUUACUAACAAGUGAGAGCUUACAAAUAUUUGAAGGAUAACGAUCACUCAUAACCCAUAUCCCCAGUAUUCCCUAAUAUUUCACUCAAGUGGGUUCAAGCUCCCAAAAUUCACUACAGUGAAAUGUCAAAACAAAACUCUCUUCUCAAAUUUGAUGAUGAUAUCUCUCGAAGGGAGGCAAAAGAAUCUAACACUGAUCAAAUUGGCUUGUGAACAAUUAAUCUUCCUCGCCAUCAUUCAUACCAGGUGCGGUGAACAAUCUUCAUUCUGACAUUUGCCUUAAUAAGCUGCUUAGUAACCUUAACCUGAUAACUCACACAAACAAAAACAACUUGCCUAAAGUUUAAUAUUUCGAGCAGAACAGUAAAGAAGAUGAUAUCUAUUGAUGCUAAAAUUUGACCUGUGUUACCCUGAUGUCAAAAGUCAUAGCAUCUCAUGUGGGCAAAAUCUUCGCAACACGAGAUGCUUGCAAAAUUGGAGCAGCAUCUUAUCACCUGUAAUUUAAUUGAGACAAUAACUUUCCCCAACCAUUUCAAUGCAUUAUUGGCAACUAAAUUCAGAGGGUGCUAAUUAAAUACCCUUUUAACAAUAUCUUCUUAUUCUUCUUCAAUCUAACAAUUAUUUGGAAAAUCUAAAUGACAAUCAUGCAUCGAUGGCAUGAAAAUUUGGCUACAAAGUAGCCUGGAAAAGGCUGCUCUCUGAAUGAGAGCAUGAAUUCAAACAAAUAUGAUGAAUGAAUAAAUAAAGGCAUAAUACCACAAGAAGUAAAACUUUUCCCCAGAUUUCUGUUUCUGUUUGUGCUAAAACCAAUGGAAACCGAUGGAAAUGAAUUUCUACGAAUUAGACAUAUCAGCCAAAACAGGUACUCCGUACAAGCAAAGUAAAAGAGGGUUACAAAAAAUUUUAAUAUUGAUAUGAUAAUUAAAAUUAUAAUGAAAAUUUCAGUUACCAUAUAAUUAAUAGAUAACUCUGUACACAAUGAUUUAUUGCAUAUUAAGAUUGUAUACCUGAAUUUUAAUUGCUAUACAAAAUAUGGUAGUAUCAUUAGGAGACCGCACCAAAUGUACCGAAUUGAAUGUGCCUUUUCACAGCCAUUGUACAAGCUUUGAAGCUUUACCACAAAUGCUUUCUCAAACCCGUGAUCAUGAUGCACCCGAGAGAUGCAAGAUAUGAAAUUGUUACUACAGCAGGCAAUAACCACAGUGUUAAAACAAAUGUUUAUACAGGAUAAAUGAUUCCAAGAAUGAAACAAGAUAGCAAUGAUGAUCUCAGCACCUUAACAUCACGCAAUAAUAAUCAUCAUGUCUUUCAAGCAGCUAUCCAUCCUCAAUUGAAACAGAGCAGAUCCGGCCAUCACUUCCUUCUUCAAAGUCCAGCAACCAAACGUUGCACAAUAACCACAGUGAUAAUCCUUGGUUACCCCAAUGUUCUCCAUAGAGUCUCCAAAGUCAAUCUAAAAAUGAAAUGCAGGUGGAAAUCAAAAUUCUAUUAACUAAAUAAAAUAUAAAGUGCAAUGCUUGUGCUUGAGCUUGCUUUAACAUCAUCAUAAUAGCGAAUUUUGAUACACCUUUACUUCUCUGUGGUUCAAUCAUUUACUUCCCUGUUCUUGUUUAUUCACAACAAGAUAUCAAUAGAAGAUGAUGGAAAUGAAAUUCUAUAAAAUAAAGCAAGUGAAUUACCAGUAGACCAUUUUAGCAAUCCUUUGGCUAAACUUUUCAUUUUCUUAGCACACUGUCCUGCAGUACUGCCUGCAUCAUUAAAACCAAAUUAGAUUGGACCUGUGAAUUGCUAGUGUGGUUCUGACAUUUCCUCGAAUCCCUGGUGAACAUAAUUAAACUCGUAUGAAAUAAAACAAAGUGGGCUAAUGUACUACUAAAAACAAUUACACAAUUACUUUAAAGAAUUAAUGUCACAUAAAUUAUAUAUAAAAAAAUACGAUUAUCAUUAUACAAGAUAAAAUUGAUAAUUUAGUUUUCGACAUUACUGCAAAUGUAUGAAGGAGAUUUUGUCACUCAGGAAGUUACACAUAACAAAUUUCCGUACAUUAAAAAAUAAAUUACAUUGGGAUUUUCUAUGAUGUUGUAUGAAAUUUUACAAAAAAGCACAUAUUUUUUAAAAGUAAAUAAAUAUAGAAAUUUCAACAGACUAAACUUGUAUUUUUUUUUUAUUUAAUCUUUAGAAAACAAGUUUAACAUAUUUGAUAACUAGGAAGUUUUACAUAUUUAUACCAUGAUUGAUUCUAUAUAGAAUUAUUAAAUAAUAAAGUAAUGCCAUAAUCUAAUUGGUCUUGUUAUUGACAUGUACUCACGCAUUCUAUAUUUCUAACUUUGUACAUUUUAUUGAUAUGUACAAAUUGUCAAUGUUUGCAGUGUCGUUGUUUGAAGUAACAACAAAGUAAAAUAGAGGUGAGAAAUUACCGGUGGGUGAUAGUAAUUGCAACCAUUCGAGAAUUUACCACUCGGACUCGAUGUAGGGAAUGUGAGAUAUCUUAUGCCAGUCUUCUCCUUCCCCCUCUCUAUAACGGUUUUCCAGAAGAGGACAUCUGUGAAUAAUCAAUUCCUGCAGCGUCGUCGUCCGAAGAAGGUAAUCCGGCAGCACCUUUAAUUUGGGGCAAUACCCAAUUUCCAAGGAAGAAAGACGUGGUAUGUCUGUUGUCUUGCGAUCUUCUAGAAUGGGCAGUUCUUCUAGAAGAUCACAAAAAUAAAUACGCAGUUCCUGCAGUGCCGUCGAUUGAAGAAGGUAAUCCGGCAGCGCCUUCAAUUUGGGGCAACCUCUAAUCCACAAGGAAGAAAGACGGGGCAUGAUGGAGAUGUUUUCCUUCCUCGUAAUCCUGUAAUUCCACUCUUCCAACUCUUCCAUUCCCCCAAUGUCGAGUGAUUUUAAUUUGGGAAAGGCAGUAACUGAUGAUGACGAUGAAGAUGAAGAUGGGUCAUCCUCACUGCUUUCUUCUAUUCCCAAAAACUCAUUACCCACUCUUUUUACACUUUUCAAAAUGUAUAGUUGGAGUUUUUCCAGAGGUAAUUUUCCCAAAGGAGGCAAAUGCUCACAGUUAAAACAAAACCAAAGAUUUAAUUCCCUUAGAUAGGUUAGUGAAGUCAACCAUUUGGGAAAAAUGUCGCCUCCGUAGAAACAAAUCUGUAAUUCCUCUACAUUCAAAUGCGGUUGUAAAGCUUCAAGAAGUUGUUUAUCUUUCUCAUUCUUCCUCCUCCCUUCUUCGCCUUCCCCAUCUACGACUCCAUCAAACACAAGAUGCAAACGAAGGAGGUUUUCCAUAUUGUGAAGUCCUAUUCUCUCAGCCUCAUCUAAAUGUGAUACAUUACUCAGCCCUUCUAUUCCACAUUUACGAAGGAGUUGAAGAUUUUUCAGAGAUUCAAGCCUACACGUGCUGCCGCCAUCAACACCUCCACCCACAACAAACUUUUCUAAUGUUCGAAGACUGGUUAAUUUGGAAAUCCCUAUUGGCAUGUACUUCAAUGAAUAAGUUUGACCAUUCAGUAAACUCCUCAUGUUCAUUAACUUCCCAAUCCCCGCUGGCAAUUCUCUAAGAUUUGGGCACCGCCUAAUAUCUAGCUUUCGUAAAUUAUAUAAUUCACACAAAGUCUCAGGCAGUCUCUCUAUACAUAAUUCAGAUAAAUUAAGAUAUUUUAAAUGUAUCAAUUUUCCAAUAUUUUCUGGAAUUUCUCUAAUGAAAUUUGGGCUAGGAUGAGAAAAUGAGGACAACUGUCUUAUAACUAAUGCCCUUAAACACGCCAAUUUACUAAAUAACCCCGGAAGGAUGCUACUACGAAGAGACGGACCUUUAUCAUAAAUUAAGAGGGUCCGCAAUCUAUUAAGUCCAUAAAUGGACAUAGGAAGUGGAGCGCCUCCUUCAAAAUUUAAUCCUAGGUGACAGACUUUGUCACCAAAAGAAUUUAUGACUGACUCUUUGUUACCAUCAAUUUCUAGCCACAAACAUUCUUUUCUACUUACAAAUUGGGCAAAAUCAUGUACUAUGUCAUGCAUUUUACACCUCAUAAACUCAUUAUCGCCACCGUAUGUUUCAAACUCUUGAAAGAAAGAGUGUGUUGCUAAGAUGUUGAAAUACUCUUCUCCAACCAUCUCCAUUUCUUCGUCUUCUUCUGCAUUAAGGUAACCUUGAGCCAUCCACAUAUCAAUCAAUUCCUUUUUAUGCAUAUAGUGGUCUUUUGGAAAGACAGCACAAUAUGAGAAACAUUGUUUUACCAUAGAAUUAGAGGGCAAAUCGUUAUAACUCAACAACAAAGGAGCCAAAAGACCUUUCCUAAUCUCUUCUACCUUCCACAUUUCACUCUCUAAAAUUCUUUGCCACUCUUUUACUGUACAUUUAGAGCGCAAGAGAUUCCCUAUUACCUUUACAGCAAGAGGCAGGCCUUUGCACUUGCGUGCAAUUUUUCGUCCGAUUGGUUCUAAUUUUUCACAAUCCUCGAAAGAGCGACCGAAAAAUGCCAACCGCUUGAACAACAACCAGCAUUCCUCUUCAGCUAGUUGUUCAAUGGAGAUAAUAUCUAACUCUAUUGUUCGCAUCAUACGUGCAACUGACUCAUUACGUGUGGUAACCACAAUUUUACUUCCAGGAAGACCAUUCUUUAGACAAAAGAAGAAUUGAUCCCAUAUAUUAUAAUUCCCAUCCCAUACAUCAUCUAAGACAAUAAAAAUUUUUUUUCCUUCAAUUGAUCUAUGGAUAUGGCUCAUAAGAGAUUGGAAUUCGCUUAAACCAGAAGCUUCUUUUGACUCGCCUAGUCCUUCAAUAAUUGCUUUGGCGACCCUCAUCUCAUCAAAAGUGUCUGAUACACACACCCAUAUAACUUUUUCAAAAUUUAUUUUCACCCCAUCAUUAUUAUAGGCUAGUUGUGCAAGAGUGGUUUUACCUAUACCCCCUAACCCAACCAGUGAGAUGAUAUGAGGAUGUUGUUCGCCACUCUCACCCAACAACUUACCUAACAGCUCAUUUUUCUCGUCAUCUCUACCAAAAAUCUCUCCCUCAUCAAUCAAGGAGGUGGUUGGCACUCGCUCUGAUUUCUUAACAUUGUUACUCACAUUCUCAACAAAUUUAAACAUAUCUUUUCGAGUGGCAAUACCAUCUAGCUUUUCACUGAUUUCGCUAAUCUUGACAGCAACAUCAUCACGAAGAAUGAGUUGUUUGAAACCACCUAAGUAGUUUGAGGCAGCACGAAAGAAGGAACAUACCUUCUUCUUAGGAGGAGCAAGAGCAAGAGCAUCGUCAUCAUCGCCGCCCUCAUCAAGCUGCAAUUUCCGUGUUUCAGUGAUCCACUCUUCCAACACAUCUUCCAUGUCGUAGGAUGCGUCUCUGAGCUGAUCCAGCCAAAGAGUAACAGCUUUGUCCUGCUUCAUUUGCCUCUGCUCUGCAUCUUACAGUACAGCUUGAAUGACUUGAAGAUUGGUAGUAAGCUUUCCCACUUCUUGUUCGACACCCGUCACAAGCCUCCACUUUUCUUUCACCUGAUCUUGAGCAAUGGAUUUCAGCUGGUCCAGGAGAGAGGAAACGAUCGCAUGAGCCAUUCAGAGGAAAGUAGGUUUUAUGUAUUCUGUGAGAAUGUUCAUUCAAGCAUGUUUGCAUUCUUCUUAUACCAUAUGAGAUAUUUAAUUUUUACCCUCGAGUCAAUGUCAAUAAUUGUACAGCGUCUGCCCUGUUUCUCUGAUUCAUAAUAAUUCAUUGUUAAUUCUGCAGAGUACACAGCGUCAGCACUUGUGAAAUUUCUUACAUUUGUAAAAUCAUGCAGCCGACCCUUGUGAACUAACUAAUUAACUAAAUUUUCUUACAUUGUCAAUAAGUUAUGAUUAUUGUGAAUUUUCCAUCCCCUAUAUAAAUUCUUAGAUUUAUUUAAAUUGUGAGUCAUAGAAGUAUAUUACCUAAAUUAUUUUAUCAGGCCAUGUUCCGAUACUAGGAGUAAGUACGGAAUUGGACUAAUUUUGUGAUUAUCUAUUUAUCUCAUAUUUGAUAAGCUUAAUUGAAUUGGAUUUAGGAACCAAAUUUAAAUUUAAUCCUAAAAUUAUGGAAUUGAUAAUCCUAAUUUACGCAUAACUUUAGUUGGGAUAAAAUUAAAGAAAAAAAGUUAUCCAUUUAUGAGACUUUAAUUUAUAUCAUUAUCGUUUAUUUAUGCUUAAUAUUUAUUUAUUUUUUUUAAUUUAUGAUUUACUUAAAAUUUAUUUUUAUUUAUUAUCUAUCAUCUGAUUAAAUUAGAACUUUACUUCUACUAACUCUUGAUAUUAAUUUUUCAUUACUUGCAUAUUUGAUAAUUUGUCAAUAAAAUUAACCAUUUAAUAAUUUAUUGCAUAAUAGAUUGUAUUAAACUUACUAAUCACUAAAAAAAUAUUUAAAAUCAUCAUGAAAAUUAAUAAUACCGUCAAUUAAUUGAUUUUAUAUACUUUUUUAAAUAUUUGAUAAAAAAUAAUUAAGUAUUUAAAUUUUUAUUUCAUUUUUUUAUUUGUUUAUUUUAUUAUGGAUACCCAAUAACUUGCAAUAUAAUUAAUUUUCUUAUUCAGACUACUCAGCAUCAGCUCCUAUAAAAUUUCUUACAUUAUAAGCAACAAAAUAUUUAUAAACUACAACAAAGGGCUUAAAUCAAUCCACCGAUUAACCUUUUGAAGUUAUAUAUAAUAUAUUAACUGUUGAUCUAGAAUAGUCUUAGUGGAUAGAUUUUUUUUAAUUAUAAAUAUCAAUAAAUUUUUUUUAUCGUUUAAUAGAUAUUGAUGAAAUUAUAUGGAGUAAUUUCGCCCAAUCAUAUAUAUUAUAACAAAAGUUGGAAAAGAGAAAAAUAAAACAAAAGUUGGAAAAAUCAUGCAGUCGUUGGGAAUUUCGAAAUUUGAGAAUUUUGCCCGUAGCUACAGGCUGCAGCGAUUUUUGACUUUCAUGAUGCAAACAAACCAAUCAUCAUUAAUUUCAAUAGAAAGAAGUAUUCUAGGUGGAAUUGAUUUCUGGAGCAGAAUAUGAUGUAUUUGGGACUUCCUACUCUAUUAGAUAGGUUAAUAACAUGUUAAUUGUCACAUCAUUAAUUUUAGAUUAUAAAUUUUAUAUUCAAACUUUGUAUGACUGCUCCUUUUUCAUUUGAAAAAAAAAAAAAAAAUUAACUUCUAGCAUGAUCUAAUUAAUUGAUCUUGUUUCAAAAGAAUCAAAAAAAUAAAUAAAAUAAAAUAAAGUAAUGCCAUAAUCUAAUUGGUCUUGUUAUUGACAUGUACUAAUGCAUUCUAUAUUUCUAACUUUGUACAUUUUAUUGAUAUGUUUCUCUUGAGAGAUAAGAAUCAUUAUGUGGCAAAAUUUUAUUAAAGCUGGGAUUAUUUAUGUUCUAAUACUUUGAACAUUAAUUUUUAAUCUACUCUUUAGAAUACAAAAAUAAUCCUUACCUAAACAUCUUUCAUAAAUGUUUUUUGCUGGGGCUGCUAAAAUUCAUAAUCUAAUAUUAGUUGAUGUGGCAUGUGUCCUAUCACAUAAAUGUAGAUAAUAAUAAUUAAUUCAUUAACAAAAUGAAAAAUGUUAGUUUACAAAAUACAAAUCCGAAUUUUUUGUGUGUUAGAGGGAAUUUAAAAGGGAGAGACUAAACAAAUGUGGUGACAAAUUACACGUAUUACCAAAAUUGAAAAUACAAAGUUUAGGCAACUGGAAACAUCUCUGUCAAUGGCAAUGAACCCAUUACCUCCAUUUAUAAUUAACCAAAAAUCAAAUAAAUUAAAAAAGAAAACACAAAGCAAGGAUAACUACUAGUUGUUUUGAUCAUCCCUGCUUCUUUUUCUUAGCAUAGCUCUUGUAAUGAAAAUUAACAAAAAGGGCCAAAAGGGAAGCAUUAAACACAGUAUUGAAGCACCAACCCCAAAACACAGGGAAACCAAAUCCCGUGAAAUGAUAAUUCAGCAUCAAAAUGAAAAAUGUUAUGGAUGGCUGUGAUGGGUCUGAGGAUGUGGGGUCCAAUGAGAGGUGAUGAUGAUGGUGAUGUUGAUGUUGAUGUGUGGUAGAGGAUGGAUGUGAGGGAGAGGUAAGUAAUGAUGGAGUGAAUGAGGAUGCGUGGGAAGGAAGCUAGGGUUUGGUUUUGAGUCCAUGUGAAGUUGAGGACUUGUGGGUGGCUUACAAGCAAUAUUGGAGUGUUAAGCUGAUUGAAUUUGAACAGUGCUACUCCAAUAACAUCAAUAUGGUUGAUGACCGCUCUAUCAAAUCCUUUGGAUAAAUGAAUUGACCGCUCUAAAAUAAAUGAAUGAGAUAGGAUAAAUUCGAAUAAAUUAAUCUGCAUAAUGACACAAGAAACAAAUAUAAAUUGACCGCAAGUAGAAAUAUACUUUUGUUAUAUUUAGAGCAUCUUCCAAUUUCUUUCCCUUGAGCUCUGUUUCUGCGAGUGCUCAAAAGCAAGACACAGGCCUCAAGAUAUAAUUAUCAUCAUCAAUCUUUUGCAGCCACAUGCAGUACUUGGAAAAUGUUUAUGGCCCUAAAUAACUGGAAAAUCAGAAAACAUUAAGAACAAGAGACUAAUCAUUUUAAUCGCAACAAAACAUGCACACUAUGAAAAUAUAAAAUUGAAUUACUUCGAAUGGAUGUGCCUCUUAACAGGAAUUGCACAAGCUAAUGAGCAAGUGAGCCUUCGAAUGAAAAUCUAAAUCCUUGCAGCCUGCGUCAUGCAGCUUCUCCCAAUGAGUAAGUGAACCUUGAACAGUUAUCACUCAGCUCAAACUAAAAUGAAAUUACUGUGGACAUGUGAAUUAAAAAUAGAUGUAAAAGUAGUUUUCUCAAAGCAAAGUCAAGAUAAGAGAUUAACUCUACUCCUUAUUUACAUUAAAAAUAACGAACAAUGGAAAACAGAGCUAGAGAAGAACUUACCUGUGCGUUGAGAUCAUGUGGGGAAUGUGAGAUAUCUUCUUAGAUUUGGUUUGGGAAACUCCAUCUUCUUCUGAAAGUUCUGACAGUUCCCUAAACCCAGGCCAAUACAAUUGCAACAGAAACUGCAUGCUUUAACCAGUAUCUGAUCAUCUCCUGUUAUUUCAAGACAAUAAUAACUUAAUUGCAACACUGCAUGCUUCAACCAAUAACCUUUUCGACUUCAACACUUCUUUUGUCCCCCACCCGAUGCCCUUUUCACAAUUCUAUGAAUCAGAUAAAUCAGCCUUCUUCACAAAACUAAAAUUUCGGUCCCCAUGUAGCAGAGUUUCUUAUUUUUCCUUUGUACACAAAUGCAGACACUUAAGCAAAUUAAGAUUUCUUACCUAAAGCAAAUUAGGAUUUCUUUUGAUCCUGCAAGUUACAAUUUCAGUCCCCAUGUAAUAGUAAAAAUUUGUACACAUAUUUAUAUAGCAAAUUAAUAUUUCAUACCUCACAAUAUUUAUCAUAACCAUCAAUCUUUAGAAACCACAUGCAGACUUGUUAAACUGUUUAUGGCCCAAAAUAACAGGAAAAUUAGAACAGAUUUUUAAGAAUGAGCGACUAAAUAUUUCAAUGGCAACUAAAAUUACACAUCUUGGAAAUCUGAAACUCAAGUACUCAGAACACUGUAAGUGCAUUGCAUAAUCUUGGGUAAAAAAUACACAGCAAUUAAACAAGCUGGGAACUUUAGUGCAAAUGCUUUUUCAUAAUCUUCAAUUGCAUAAGUCAGUUAGAAUCAAUCUUUCUUAAUCUUUCAAUUCACAUAUGAGAGCCUGAUAACACAAGGAAACACUGUAAGUGAAUUGUCAACUGUGACAAAUUUUGGGUAAAAAUUAUCAACUGUAGUUAUCUGCAUAACAUUUAGUGUCAACCCCAAAUUCCUUCCUGAUCCGUGGAAGCAUUUCAGCCCACAGACGGUUAGCUUUGUCAAUAUACGGCAACUCAGGAUUCUAUAUUUAAACUAUGAUGUUUGAUGACUUGCUGAUACAAAAGACAUUGCCCCAAGCACUUUUUUACAUUAGCUAAAAUCAAGCCAGUCACUUCCAUUUGUUGCAGUUUUAAUGCAGAAAGAAAAAAGGGGGAAAAAAAUCUGCAAGAUGCCACUUGUAAUACCGCAUGUUCGCAGGAGCAGAGUUAAAUAAUUACAAAAUUACAUUCUUUAUUGGCCACAAAGCUGCCUAGAAAAAGGCUUUAAAUUCUUAAUGAGACAACGUAUUCGAACAAAUAUGGUGAAUGAAGAGACAAAGGCAUAACACCUCGGGAAGUAAAGCUCUGUUUCUGUAUGUGCUCAAACCAAUGGAAACCCAUGGAAAUGAAUUUCUACGAAUUAGACAUGUCAGCCAAAACAGGUACUCUGUACAAGCAAAGUAAAAGAGAGUUACAAAAAAUUUUAAGAUAAUUAAACUUUUAGUCACCAUAUAAUUAAUAGAAAACUUUGUACACAAUGAUUUAUAUGAGAUUAAGAUUGUAUACCUAAGUUUUAAUUGCAAACUAAAUAUACACAACAUGAUAUUAGCAUUAGAAGACUGCACCAAAACGCACCGAAUUGAAUGUACCUCUUAACGGCCAUUGUACAUGCAUUGAAAGUUUACCGCAAAAGCUGUUUCAAACGUGAUGCAUCUUAGAGAUGCAAGAUGAGAAAUUGUUAUUACAACUAGCAUUGAAACAUGUGUGAAAACUGUUAAUGGACCUAAAUAACUUGAAAAUCAGAAAAGAUUAGGAAUGAGUGACUAAGCCUGCUAAUCGCAACUAAACGUGCAAACCUUGAAAAUCCAAAAUUGUACUCGAUGAAUGUGCAAUUGCUCAAGCAGGUAAAUUUCCUGCAAAGGCUCUUACAAACCCUCAAAGAUGAUACUCUACAUACCAUGGUAACCUGAGUAACAAAAAGAAACACAGUGAAUAUUAAAGGGCAUUCUGACAAUGCAAAUUUGUGUAAAUUAACAACUGCGGUUACCUGCAUAAUAGUGUCAAUACCGAAUUCCUUCCUCCAUGGAAGCAUGUGAUCAGCCCACAUGUGCUUUGCUCUGUAGCUUUUGAAUACCUGAAAUUGUUAUCACAACCAACGGUGAAAAAUGGGUGAAAAAAGGGUAAUAGUAGCAUAAUUGAAUUUGCUUAUAGAGGAUAAACCGAUCAAAGAAAAAAACAAGACAGAAAUGAUGAUCUUAGUACCUUAAUAUCAUGCAAUAAUAAUCAUCAUGCCUUCUAGGCAGCUAUCCAUCCUCAAUUGAAACAGAGCAGACCUGGCCAUCACUUUCUUCUUCAAAGUCCAGCAACUGAACGUUGCACACAACACCACAGUGGAAGUUCCAUCACCAGCCUAAUCCUUGAUUACCCCAAUGUUCUCCAUAGGGUCUUCAAAGUCAACCUAAAAAUAAAAUGAAAAUGCAAUGCAUUAUUAUUAGGGAUCUAGUGCUUGAGCUUGCUUUGACAUCAUGGUAUUAGCAAAUUCUGAUAUAGCCAAAAUGGUGAAUAAGAUGACGUACUUGAUAAGAAAAACCUGAUUUAACAAAUAAUUAAGGAGCCGGUAACAAUCACAGAAUCUCAUCAUGUGGGGAACGCCUUGGCAACAGAAGAUGGUGCUUUCAUUCAAGCAAUAGCAACUUUCCAAUUUCAUAAGGUAGUUUAAUGGCCCUUUUAAGAACAUCUGCACCAGCCUAAUAAUUAUUCAUGGAAAUUAAUAAUCAGAAUCAUGUUAGAUUGAGAGAUGAAACAUAAUAAGCGAUUUGGCCACCAUAUAUGCAUUUAUCACCUUCAAUUUGCUCAUCUUUGUCUAGAGUAUUGCUUCUGCAUUAACUUAAUUAGCUUGCAAGCCACCUGAACAUGGUUUUAAAUAAAGUGUAAGAGCUCGAAUUCGAACGAAUUAAUCAAAUAUGCUGACAGGAGAAACAAAAGUAAAUAACCACAAGAAGUAGAAAUAUACUUUUGUUAUAUUCAGAGCAUCUUCUUGCGUCAAGUUCUUUUCCUUUAGCUCUGUUUCUGUUUGUGCUCAAACGCAAUGGCUCAAGGGCCAAGAUAAUUUUAUGACCAUCAAUCUUUUUGCAGCCACAGCAGACUUGAAAAAAUGAUUGUGGCCCUAAGGAACUUGAAAAUUAGAAAAGAUUCAGAAUGAGUGACUAAAUAUUAUAAUUGAAACUAACUAAACAUUAUAAUCGAAACUAAUUAAACGCCUAGAAAAUCUGAAACUGAGCAAUUGCUUCUGGUGGAAACUUUACUGCAAGGACUUUCUCAAACCCUUGAAGAUCACACUCUACCUGAUAACAAAGAAACAGUCAAUAUACGAAGAUGAUUUUACUAACAAGUGAGUGCUUACACAUAUUGGAAGGAUAAUGAUGAUUCAUAACCCAAAUCCCCAAUACUCCCUAUUAUCUCACUCAAGUUCGAGCUCCCAGAAUUCACUACUGUGAAGCUCUCACAACAAAAUUCCCUUCAAAGAUUCUCUACUCAAAUUUGAUGAUGAUGUCCCUCCAAAGGAGGCAAAAAAUCUAACACUGAUCAAAUUGGUUUGUGAACAAUUAAUCUUCCUGGCCAUCAUGCAUACCAGGUGUGGUGAGCAAUCUUCAUUAUGACAUUUGCCUUAAUAAGCAGCUUAGUUUCCUUAACCUGAUAACUUACACAAACAAAAACAACUUGAUUAAAGUUUAAUAUUUAGAGGCAGAACAGUAAAGAAGAUGAUAUAUAUUGAUACUAAAAUUUGACCUGUGUUAUCCUGACGUCAAGAAUCACAGCAUCUCAUGUGGGCAGAAUCUUCGCAGUACAAUAUGCUUGCAAAAUUGAAGCAGCAUCUUAUCACCUGUAAUUUAAUUAAGACAAUAACUUUCCCCAACCAUUUCAAUGCAUUAUUGCCAACUAAAUUCAGAGGGUGCUAAUUAAAUAGCCUUUGAACAAUAUAUUCUUAUUCUUCUCCAAUCUAACAAUUAUUUCGAAAAUCUAAAUGACAAUCACGCAUCGAUGGCAUCAAAAUUUGGCUACAAAGCAGCCUGGAAAAGGCUUUACUCUCUGAAUGAGAGCAUGAAUUCGAAACAAAUAUGAUGAAUGAAGAAAAUAAGGCAUAAUACCACCAAAAGUAAAACUUUCUCCCAGGGCUCUAUGUUUCUGUUUGUGCUAAAACCAAUAGAAACCGAUGGAAAUGAAUUUCUAGGAAUUAGACAUAUCAGCGAAAACAGGUAUUCUGUACAAGCAAAGUAAAAUAGGGUUACCAAAAUUUUUAAGAUUGAUAUGAUACUUGAAAAAUAGGUUUGCACAGAAUUAAUUAUUCUGUCAUUGAGAUUGUUCUUUUAUAGAGAUUUCCAGCGCACAUAAAACUAUUAAAUCAGUAAACUAAAUCACUGAUUUAAGGAAAGAAUAAUUUCUAGGUAGAUUUUCCUAAAAUACAUAGAUUUGCACCUAAAUAGCUAUGUUACAGCUAAUGACUAAUUUACAGCACAUAUUUUUUCUAAUUUUCUAACACUCCCCCUCGAGCUGGUUUGAAGAUAUCCUCCAUAGCCAGCUUGCCAACUAGAAAAUUGAACUGUUUUGUGUGUAGUCCUUUGGUAAAGACAUCAGCCACUUGUUCUCCAGUAGGAAUGUGCUCCAUAUGAACCAAUCCAUUAUCUAUCUUCUCCUUGAUGAAAUGCUUGUCAAUCUCCACAUGUUUUGUGCGGUCAUGAAGGACUGGAUUGUGUGCUAUUGAGAUUGCUGCCUUGUUGUCACAGUACAACUACAUAGGAGAUGAUUUUGUCGCUUUUAACUCUUCCAACAGCCUCCUAAUCCACAUGAUCUCACAAAUGCCAUGGGUUACAGCUCUAAAUUCAGCCUCAGCACUGCUCCUAGCUACCACAUUCUGUUUCUUGCUUCUCCAAGUAACCAAAUUACCACCUACAAAUGAACAGUAUCCAGAAGUGGAUCUUCGGUCUACUUUGCAGGUAAAUUUACUGCAAAGGCUCUUACAAGCCCUCAAAGAUGAUAUUCUACAUACCAUGGUAACCUGACUAACAAAAAGAAACACAGUGAAUAUUAAAGGGCAUUCUGACAAUGCAAAUUUGUGCAAAUUAACAACUGCGGUUACCUGCAUAAUAGUGUCAAUACCGAGUUCCUUCCUCCAUGGAAGCAUAUGAUCAGCCCACAUGUGCUUUGCUCUGUAGCUUUUGAGUACCUGAAAUUGUUAUUACAACCAGCGGUGAAAAUUGGGUGAAAAAAUGGUAAUAUUAGCAUAAUUGAAUUUGCUUAUAGAGGAUAAACCGAUCAAAGAAAACGACAAGAUAGAAAUGAUUAUCUUAGUACCUUAAUAUCAUGCAAUAAAAAUCAUCAUGCCUUCCAGGCAGCUAUCCAUCCUCAAUUGAAACAGAGCAGACCUGGCCAUCACUUUCUUCUUCAAAGUCCAGCAACUGAACGUUGCACACAACACCACAGUGGAAGUAGUUCCAUCACCAGCCUAAUCCUUGAUUACCCCAAUGUUCUCCAUAGGGUCUUCAAAGUCAACCUAAAAAUAAAAUGAAAAUGCAAUGCAUUAUUAUUAGGGAUCUAGUGCUUGAGCUUGCUUUGACAUCAUGGUAUUAGCAAAUUCUGAUAUAGCCAAAAUGGUGAAUAAGAUGAUGUACUUGAUAAGAAAAACCUGAUUUAACAAAUAAUUAAGAAGCCGGUAACAAUCACAUAAUCUCAUCAUGUGGGGAAUGCCUUGGCAACAGAAGAUGGUGCUUUCAUUCAAGCAAUAGCAACUUUCCAAUUUCAUAAGGUAGUUUAAUGGCCCUUUUAAGAACAUCUGUACCAGCCUAACAAUUAUUCAUGGAAAUUAAAAUUCAGAAUCAUAUUAGAUUGAGAGAUGAAAUAUAAUAAGCGAUUUGGCCACCAUAUAUGCAUUUAUCACCUUCAAUUUGCUCAUCUUUGUCUGGAGUAUUGCUUCUGCAUUAACUUAAUUAGCUUGCAAGCCACCUACAAAUGGUUUUAAAUAAUGUGUGAGAGUGUGAAUUCGAACGAAUUAAUCAAAUAUGCUGACAGGAGAAACAAAAGUAAAUAACCACAAGAAGUAGAAAUAUACUUUUGUUAUAUUCAGAGCAUCUUCUUGCGUCAAGUUCUUUUCCUUUAGCUCUGUUUCUGUUUGUGCUCAAACGGAAUGGCUCAAGGGUCAAGAUAAUUUUAUGACCAUCAAUCUUUUUGCAGCCACAUGCAGACUUGAAAAACUGGUCGUGGCACUAAGGAACUUGAAAAUUAGAAAAGAUUCAGAAUGAGUGACUAAAUAUUAUAAUCGAAACUAAUUAAACAUACACGCCUAGAAAAUCUGAAACUGAACUUCUCAAAUGUAUAUGCCUCUUCGCAGCAAUUGCUUGUGGUGGAAACUUUACCGCAAGGACUUUCUCAAACCCUUGAAGAUCACACUCUACCUGAUAACAAAGAAACAUAGUCAAUAUACGAAGAUGAUUUUACUAACAAGUGAGUGCUUACACAUAUUGGAAGGAUAAUGAUUACUCAUAACCCAAAUCCCCAACACUCCCUAAUAUCUCACUCAAGUGAGUACGAGCUCCCAGAAUUCACUACUGUGAAACUCUUACAACAAAAUUCCCUUUAAAGAUUCUCUACUCAAAUUUGAUGAUGAUGUCCCUCGAAAGGAGGCAAAAAAUCUAACACUGAUCAAAUUGGCUUGUGAACAAUUAAUCUUCCUGGCGAUCAUGCAUACCAGGUGUGGUGAGCAAUCUUCAUUCUGACAUUUGCCUUAAUAAGCGGCUUAGUAUCCUUAACCUGAUAACUUACACAAACAAAAACAACUUGAUUAAAGUAUAAUAUUUAGAGGCAGAACAGUAAAGAAGAUGAUAUAUAUUGGUACUAAAAUUUGACCUGUGUUAUCCUGACGUCAAGAAUCACAGCAUCUCAUGUGGGCAGAAUAUUCGCAGUACAAGAUGCUUGCAAAAUUGAAGCAGCAUCUUAUCACCUGUAAUUUAAUUAAGACAAUAACUUUCCCCAACCAUUUCAAUGCAUUAUUGGCAACUAAAUUCAGAGGGUGCUAAUUAAAUAGCCUUUGAACAAUAUAUUCUAAUUCUUCUCCAAUCUAACAAUUAUUUGGAAAAUCUGAAUGACAAUCAUGCAUCGACGACAUCAAAAUUUGGCUACAAAGCAGCCUGGAAAAGGCUUUACUCUCUGAAUGAGAGCAUGAAUUCGAAACAAAUAUCAUGAAUGAAGAAACAAAGGCAUAAUACCACAAAAAGUAAAACUUUUCCCAGGGCUAUCUGUUUCUGUUUGAACUAAAACCAAUGGAAACCGAUGGAAAUGAAUUUCUAGGAAUUAGACAUAUCAGCCAAAACAGGUACUCUGUACAAGCAAAGUAAAAUAGGGUUACAAAAAAUUUUAAGAUUGAUAUGAUAAUUAAAAUUUCAGUCACCAUAUAAUUAAUAGAAAACUUUGGACACAAUGAUUUAUUGCAUAUUAAGAUUGCUAUAUAAAAUAUAAUAUUAGCAUUAGGAGACCGCACCGAAGCAUACCGAAUUGAAUGUGCCUUUUCACAGCCAUUUUACAAGCUUUGAAGCUUCACCACAAAUGCUUUUUCCAACCCGUGAACAUGGUGCACCCGAGAGAUGCAAGCUAUGAAAUUGUUACUACAGCAAGCGUUGGAACAUUUGUUAAAAAAGGAAGUUUAUGAAAAUACGCCUUUGGAUACCAGUCUUCAGGAAUCAAUUCAUCCGUAAUAACAAUUUUCAAGAAUUAUCAACUGCUUUAAGCUCAUCGACAUCACAAAGAUCUCAACUAAAAUAGAGCAGAUCCGGCCAUCACUAUCCCUUCUACUGCUCUUUUCCUUUAGAGAAUGAUUGAAUUACAGAAUGCGUGUAAGGCAUUCUUAUUCAAGGUCCAAUGAUCAAACCUUGCACUAUAACAACAGAGGUAGUAGUUUCUUCGCCAGCCUAAUCCUUGGUCUCAGGAAUGUCCUCAACAGAGUACUCGAAAUCAACCUAAAAAUUAAGAAUGAGUUGGAAAACUGUUUAUGGCCCUAAAGAACUUGAAAAUAAGAAAAGAUUAAGAAUGAGUGACUAAACAUUUAAUCGCAACUAAACAUACAAACCUUGAAAAUCUAACUUUGAAGUACUCUUGAAUGAAUGAGCAGUUGCACGAGCUGGUGACAACUAAGGUUACUGUGAAGUCUCUUACAAAUCCUUAAAGAUGAUACUUUACAUACCACGAUAACCUGAUAACACAUAGGAACACAAUAAACAUUAAAGUGUAUUCUGACAAUGCAAAUUUGUGGAAAUCAUCAGCUGUGGUUACCUGGACAAUAUUGCCAACACCAAACUCCUUCCUCAAUUGAAACAUAUGAUCAGCCCACAAAUGCUUUGCUUUGUAGCUUUUGAGAGCCUGAAAUUGUUAUCACAACCAACAAUGAAAAUUGGGUGAAAAAAUUGAUAAUAUUAGCUUAAUUCCAUAUGUUUAUAUAGGAUAAACCGAUCAAAGAAUGAAAAAAGAUAGAAACAGAGCAGACCCAGCCAUCACUUUCUUCUUCAAAGUCGCACCAUAACCACAGUGGUAGUCGUUCCACUGCCAGCCUAAUCCUUGGUCACCCCAAUGUUCUCCAUGAAGUAUUCAAAGUCAACCUAAAAAUAAAUAAAAAUGCAAUGCAGGUGGAAAUGAAAAUUCUAUAAAUUAAAUAAAAUAAAAAUGCAAUGCUUGAGCUUGAGCUUGCUUUAGCAUCAUCGUAAUAGUAAAUUUUGAUAUAUCUUUACUUCUCUGUUCUUGUUUAUUCACAACAAGAUAUCAAUAGAAGAAGAUGGAAAUGAAAUUCUAUAAAAUAAAGCAAGUGAAUUACCAACAGAACAUUUUAGCAAUCCUUUGGCUAAACUUUUCAUUUUCUUAGCAUACUCUCCUGCCUGGUGAACAUAAUUAAACAAGUAUGAAAUAAAACAAAGUGGGCUAAUGUAGUAAAAACAAUAACACAAUUACUUUAAAGAAUUAAUGUCACGUAUAUUAUAUAUAAAAAAAUACGAUUAUCAUUAUAUAAGAUAAAAUUGAUAAUUUAGUUUUCAACAUUACUGCAAACGUAUCACAGAGAUUUUGUUACACAUAACAAAUUUUCGUACAUAUGAAAAUAAAUUACAUUGCAUGAAAUUUUACAAAAGAGCACAUAUUUUUUAAAAGUAAAUAAAUAUAGAAAUUUCAACAGACUACACUUGUAUUUUUUUUUAAUUAUUUAAUCUUUAGAAAACAAGUUUAACAGAUUUGAUAACUAGGAAGUUUUACGUAUUUAUACCAUGAUUGAUUCUAUAUAGAAUUUUAAUUCAAAAUAUAAUUAUUUUUAUUAAUUUCAUUGCAAGCAACAACGAAGUAAAUUAGAGGAGGAGGAGAAAUUACCGGCGAGUGAUAAAUUACCGCGACCACUUGAUGUGGGGAAUGCGAGAUAUCUUAUGCCAGUCUUCUCCUUUCCCCUCUCUAUAACGGUUUUCCAGAAGAGGACAUCUGUCAAUAGUCAAUUCCUGCAGCGUCGUCGUCCGAAGAAGGUAAUCCGGCAGCACCUUUAAUUUGGGGCAAUACUCAAUUACCAAGGAAGAAAGACGUGGUAUGUCUGUUGUCCUGUGAUCUUCUAGAAUGGGCAGUUCUUCCAUAUUUGCACAAAAAGAAAUCCUCAGUUUCUGCAGUGCCGUCGUUCGAAGAAGGUAAUCCGGCAGCGCCUUCAAUUUGUUGCAAGAACGAACUUCCAAGGAAGAAAGACGGGGCAUGAUAGAGAUGUUUUCCUUCCUCGUAAUCCUGUAAUUCCACUCUUCCAAUUCUUCCAUGUCCCAAAUUAUGAGUGAUUUCAAUUUGGGGAAGGCAGUAACUGAUGAUGAUGAUGAAGAUGAAGACGGGCCAUCCUCACUGCUUUCUUCUAUUCCCAAAAACUCAUUACCCACUCUUUUUACACUUUUCAAGUACCAUAGUUCGAGUUUUUCCAGAGGCAAUUUUCCCAAAGGAGGCAAAUGCUCACACUUAAGGCACGAGCGAAGAUAUAAAUUCCUUAGAUUGGUCAGUGAAGUCAACCAUUUGGGAAAAAUGUUGCGUCCAUAUAAUAUAAUCCCUAAUUUCUCUACACUCAAAGGCGGUUGUAAGGCUUUAAGAAGUUGUUCAUCUUUCUCUUUCUUCCUCCUCCUUUCUUCAUCUUCCCCAUCUACGACUCUACCAAACUCAAGACGCAAACGAAGGAGGUUUUGCUGAUUGUAAAGUUGUAAUCUCUCGACCUCAUCUAAACGGGACACAUUACCCAGCCCUUCAAUUCCACAUUCUCGAAGGAGUUGAAGAUUUUUCAGAGAUUCAAGCCUACAAGUAUUGCUACCAUCAACACCUCCACCCACCACAAACUUGUCUAAUGUUCGAAGACUGGUUAAUUUGGAAAUCCCUACUGGCAUGUAUUUCAACGAAUAAGUUUCAGCAUUCAGUAAACUCCUCAUGUUCUUUAACUUCCCAAUCCCCGCUGGCAAUUCUUUAAGAUUUCGGCACCGCCUAAUAUCUAGCUUUUGUAAAUUAUAUAAUUCACACAAAGUCUUAGGUAGUCUCUCUAUGCCUAAUUCAGACAAAUUAAGAUAUCUUAAAUGUAUCAAUUUUCCGACAUUUUUUGGAAUUUCUCUAAUCAAACUUGAGUGAAGACGAACAGGCGAGGAUGAUAGCCUUAUAACUAAUGAUUCCCUUAUAACUAAUGCCCUCAAACAUGCCAAUUUACUAAAUAACUUUCGAGUUUCUCUAAUCUUAUAUGUGUUUGGACAAAAACAUAGGCGCAACAGCCUUAUAACUAAUGCCCUUAAACAUUCUUUGCUACUACUAAAAGACGAAAGGAUGCUACUAAGAGACAGAUUGAAAUCACUUCUAUCAUAAAUUAAAAGGGUACGCAAUCUAUCAAGUCCACGAAUGGAUAUAGGAAAUGAAGUGCCUCUUUGAAAAUUUAACCCUAAGUGACGGACUUUGUCACCAAAAGAGUUUAUGACUGAGUCUUUGGUACCAUUAAUUUCUACCCACAAACAUUCUUUUCUACUUACAAAUUGGGCAAAAUCAUGUAUUAUGUCAUGCAUCUUGCAGCUCAUAAUAUCAUCAUCAUCAUCUUUUUUAAACUCUUGAAAGAAAGAGCGUGCUGCUAAAAUGUUGAAAUACUCUUCCCCAAUCAUCUCCAUCUCUUCGUCUUCUUCUGUAUUAAGAUAACCUUGAGCCAUCCAUAGUGAAAUUAGUUCCUCUUUAUUCAUAUUGUAGUUUUUUGGAAAGACAGCACAAUAUGAGAAACAUUGUUUUACCAUAGAAUUGGAGGGCAAAUCGUUAUAACUCAACAACAAAGGAGCUAAAAGACCUUGCCCAAUUGCUUCUACUUUCCACAUUUCACUCUCUAAAAUUCUUUGCCACUCUUUUACUGUACUUUUAGAGCGCAAGAGAUUCCCUAUUACCUUUGCAGCAAGAGGCAGGCCUUUGCACUUAUGUGCAAUUUUGCGCCCGAUUGGUUCUAAUUUUUCACGAUCCUCAAAGGACCUACGUAGAAAUGCCAUCUGCUUAAACAGUAACCAACAUUCCCCUUCUCCCAACUCCUUGACAGGGAUAAUAUCUAUUGAUCCCAACUGUAGUGCAACUGACCUAUCACGUGUGGUAAUUAGAAUUUUACUUUCAUGGUGGCCAUUCUUUAGACAAGAAAAGAAUGGGUCCCAUUUUUUGUAAUCUACAUCCCACACAUCAUCUAAAACAAGAAAAAACUUUUUUCCUUCAAUUGAUGUAUGGAUAUGGCUCAUAAGAGAUUGGAAUUCGCUUAAAUCAUAAGCUUCUUUUGACUUGCCUAGACCUUCAAUGAUUGCUUUGGCAACCCUAAUCCUCUCAAAAGUGUCUGAUACACACACCCAUAUAACUUUUUCAAAAUUUCUUUUCACCUCAUCAUUAUUAUAGGCCAGUUGUGCAAGAGUGGUUUUACCUAUACCCCCUAACCCAACUAGUGAGAUGAUAUGAAGGCCUUCUUGUUGUUCACUACUUUGACACAACAACUUGCUUAAGAGCUCAUCUUUCUCAUUAACUCUACCGCAAACCUCUCCCUCAUCAAUCAAGGAGGUGGUUCGCACUCGCUCUGGUUUCUUGACAUUGUUACUCACAUUCUCAACAAAUUUAAACAUAUCUUUUCGAGUGGCAAUACCAUCUAGCUU